UUUUGCUAAGGUGGAAGCUGUCGUUUUUGUCAAUGCUUUUGAAAAGAUCUUACUUACAUUGGAUAUUUGUCGAAUAGGCUGAUAUGUUCUCAUCAGUUGAAUGGCAUAUUAGGUAGUAGUUGCUUUAGAGCAGUCUGUUUCAAGAGUGAUUUAGAAGCCUUGCCAGAUUUAGAGCAUAGUCUGUUUUUGAUUAUAUACAUGAUAUUUCCAGAUUAGGUUUUGGCUUAGAACAUAUCACUCUGGUUGGCUUAGAACCUACAAAAGAGUAUCAAUAAAUUUUUUGUCGCCGGGU
rnacentral:lncRNA from 1 species